ensembl:lncRNA
AGGGGGGCCCGGGCGAGGAUUUGGGGUCCCCCGUGAGGAUUUUGGGGUUCCCCGUGAGGAUUUUGGGGUCCCCGUGGGGAUUUUGGGGUCCUCGCCAGGAGCCCCCCGAGAGCCGCCGGGACCUCGUGCAAGGGAAAUUGGGGGGUUCGGGGGGGUCCUUGAGCCACCAGGACCCGCCGGGACCCCCAAAUUUCACCAAAAUCCACCAAAUUUCACCGUCCUCGCGCACCAGAACCCCCAAAAUUCACUGUUCUUGCACCGGAAACCCCAAAAUUCACCAAAAUCCACCAAAUUUCACCGUCCUCGAGCACCGGAACCCCCGAAUUUCACCAUUUGAGCACCGGAACCCCCAAAUUUCACCAAAAUCCACCAAAAUUUCACCGUCCUCGAGCGCCGGAACCCCCGAAUUUCACCAUUUGAGCACCGGAACCCCCAAAAUUCACAAAAUUUCACCAGAAUUUCACCGUCCACGAGCGCCGGGACCCCCGAAUUUCACCUGGUUCUUGCACCGGGACCCCCAAAAUUCACCAUCCUCGAGCACGGAAACCCCAAAUUUCACCGAAAUUCACCGGAAUUCACCGAAAUUCACCAGAAUUCACCAUCCUCGAGCACGGAAACCCCAAAUUUCACCGAAAUUCACCGGAAUUCACCGGAAUUCACCGGAAUUCACCAUCCUCGAGCACCGGGACCCCCGAAUUUCACCUUCCUCGAGCACCGGAAACCCCAAAUUUCACCAAAAUUCCCCGAAUUUCACCGAAUUUCGCCGCCCUCCAGCACCGGGACCCCCCCCCGGAGCAGCGGGACCCCCGAAUUUCACCGUUCCAGCAGCGGGGUCCCCCCCUCAGGACCCCUC